UAUUUUACAUGUGGUGGAUUUCUGAAAAAGCCUAAACUUGAUGUUUACAGAGUUUAGGGGAGGAAUAUAAAACACUAUCAAUCUUACUCUUGAGAUGAUAUUAUCAAGCAUUAUCAUAUUGACAGGAUAAUCAUGGAGGAUAACUUCCACCUUUCACAUUUACUGCAAGCUUCAGGACCUUGGGGGGUAAGCUCAACAGAGACAAAACAGAUGCUGACUGCCUCAUCUGCUGGUGUCACUUUUACUUAAAAAGGGAAUGAUUCAUACAUAAUUCUCAUGUUUUAUACAAUUUUUCUGUUGUUCUUUGUAAUGUCGAUCACUUUUUCUUCUUGUUUUGUCUAGCAGGCACUGCCUUGCUCACCCGCCAAGGGGAAACAUCCGUGAUACACAAACAAACAGACAACCCAACAGAUUAGUAGUACUGUAAGUGCAGAGUGUACUAAGCUGCUCUUUAUUAAAGCAGAUGCGAGAUCCCUGUGGUGAUGUAAACCCAUUUAAAGUUUGGCACCGCCUGCCCAACUUCCUGCUGACUGUGAUGGAUGAGUUUAAGGGCGGUGGAUGCACAGAGCGAAUCGAGGAAUCUUCCCAUUGCUAGUGGCUACGGUAGCUUCUCAAUGCGUUUCAAAGGAGGGCUGAGCUGUGGACGAAGCCAUCGGUUGCAAUUCACAGUCUCACCACUAGAUGCUGCUAAAAAUCUACACAGUGGACCUAAGUUUGCCAGUUAUGUGCAGCUUUAAAAGAAAGGAAAUCUAGAAAAGUUUGGUAAAGCGCAUACAUGUAAAUGCAAAAUAAAUUUUGUAUAUUUGCUACACUGAUAUUUGUUUAUGAUACACUGUUUUUUAAUCAUAAUUGUCUAAUGUCUUGGACCAGUCUUCUUCCCCAACCAACCACCUCUUAAGUCUCAUAAGAGUGUGAAUAUUUAAACCUGGCACCUCAUUAUGUGUUGUAUCAAAGUACAGAUGUCACUAGUUUUUGUAAUUUUUUGAUUGGAGCAGAAUGAAAUUGAUUCAUACUGUUGCUUAAAGGAAUAAUUCCUGAAAGUUCCACUUCCAUAGUAUUUGUUCUUUCUACUAUGGAAGUCAAUAGGUACCGUCAACUGUGUGCUAACCAUCAUUCAUAAAAAACAUAUCUUCUUUUGUGUUUAACAAAAAUAAAGAAACUCAAACAGGUUUAAAACAA